CCCUUAGAUGUCCUGGGCCGCACGCGUGCUACACUGAUACGUGCAACAAGUUUUUUUCCUGACUCGGAAGAGUUCGGGCAAUCUUGAUAAUGCGUAUCGUGCUAGGGAUAGAUCUUUGAAAUUAUGGAUCUUGAACGAGGAAUUCCUAGUAAGCAUAAGUCAUCAGCUUGUGCUGAUUACGUCCCUGCCCUUUGUACACACCGCCCGUCGCUGCUACCGAUUUUGAGUGAUCCGGUGAACCUUCUGGACUGUACCAGUGCUUGACGCUGGCGUGGGAAAUUAAGUAAACCUUAUCACUUAGAGGAAGCAGAAGUCGUAACA
rnacentral:rRNA from 1 species